rnacentral:rRNA from 1 species
AGCGCAGGUGGUUUAUUAAGUCUGGUGUAAAAGGCAGUGGCUCAACCAUUGUAUGCAUUGGAAACUGGUAGACUUGAGUGCAGGAGAGGAGAGUGGAAUUCCAUGUGUAGCGGUGAAAUGCGUAGAUAUAUGGAGGAACACCAAUGGCGAAGGCAAUCCCCUGGACCUGUACUGACGCUCAUGCACGAAAGGCUGGGAGCAAACA